GCCUCUGUAGCUCAGUGGUUAGAGCACUGGUCUUGUAAACCAGGGGCCGAGAGUUCGCGUCUCUCCAGAGGCU
rfam:Nematostella vectensis strain CH2 x CH6 NEMVEscaffold_32_Cont5598, whole genome shotgun sequence.